rnacentral:misc_RNA from 1 species
GUUUGGAUCAUUAAACUCUCGCCGUAACCUUGCUCUGCGAUGGACGCCUUCUUGAACCCGUGCGGUGAAAGGGGCCUGGACAUCUUGGUGGUCAUAGACGGCGUUCCCCCGGCUUCUUAACUGGGAAGGGGGACUACGUCGAAAGCCACGGACGCCAAUAUAGCACGCACUGGUGAACCUGCGGGCUGGACGCCGGCUUUCUCUCCCCUUCCGGGGGGGGCAGAAGCCUUCGUUCUAAGAGCCGGGAAGAGGACUAGCUACCCUCCCCCGGUUCGAACCGUCUUUGGAGGCGGCCGAGCACCCUUUAAUGCGGAUCGGCAUGAAGCCAUUGACAAACCUAAUACACCGUUAGGCGAUGGAUUGCUAGGCACCAGCUUCGACGAAGGGCGCAGUGAAACGCGAUAACAAUUGUGACUCGCACUCUCUGUGAACAACGUCAUCCUGAACAUUAGUGCGGCCUUGCCCUUCGGGGCACUGGCCCCCCUGGAUUGCUUUGUCCUAUUCUGAGAUCGAUCUCGGCUUCACUAGCCUUCUGCCGGCUUCUUCUUGCCUUCGGGCGGGUUGAGGGGGCUCUUACCCUUCGGGGGCGGAGCUUGGCUUUAGGUGAACCGGCCGAGUGACCAGUGCCUUGGCGGUGCUCUGCGCCCCUUGCCUUACGCCGGCUUCUCGAAGCCGGCCUCUGGGGCUUUGGGUUACACGGGUGCUAACCUCGGUUAAAUACAGGGAAGCGGCUUCUCAAAGCCGCGGGAGAGGUGCCUUUGAUGGCGAGAGGGGGGAGCUCCGGCUUCUUUCUCCUUCACCCGCGGCCGAGCGCUGUCGUAAAUCCCUUUCCCGAAGCUUCUCGAAAGCCUCGUUGCCACUCUAAGGUCACUCUCCUUGCGCCCCCGGCUUCGGUCGGCGGGCCAGGGCCGCGCUCCAAGCAGAACGAAAGGGACUUGCCUCCCGGUCGCCAAAGCUUCGGAGCCAGCACGGGUAACUGGGCUUCGGGCGUCAGUACGGUCGUUUCAACCCGAGCUCUACGAGAGGCGAGUUAGGCACUCCUCCCGUAUCCUCACUUCAUAGACAGGGCGGCAGGCCAGGGCGUUCACCCGCUAAAUUUAAGCAUAUAAGUCAGCGGAGGAAAAGAAAUCAAUAGAGAUUCCCUUAGUAGCUGCGAGCGAAACGGGAUUAGCCCGAGACCGAAUCCCGCUGCCCGCAAGGGCUUCGGGACCUGUAGUCUAAGGGCAGGUUCUGCAAAGGCAAGGUUCAUUGCACACGGAUUGAGUUCCCGGAGCAUAGAGCGUUACACUCGAAACUGAACUGAGCUUGCGAAGGGCUUGCCCGUGAGUAGGUUAGCUUGAAAGUGCUAGCUGAAUAAGGGUGGUGCUGGCCAUCCAAGGCUAAAUAUGAAAGCGCGGUGACCGAUAGCGAAAAAGUACCGUAAGGGAAAGCUGAAAAGCACCUCGCUUGAGGAGCUAAAAGAGCAUGAAAUCCGUCUAAUGUGAACCGGACAUCCCGGCUCGUAGAAAGGCGUCGGCGGGAGUAGCUUCCCGCCGCACGGCGCUGAGUACGACACGGCUGCGGUGGAGGUUGCACUGGGGAAGCCCUUCGUGGGCGGCUAGGCUUACGAGCUCGGCCGUCCUGAAGAAGCGGAACCGUGCGGUCUCGCCGUCUAGGCUUGCGAUUCGAAGCGAGGGUUCGCCCGAGCUCCGGCGUAGGUGUGUAAGAGCUGAGUUUCCGACCCGUCUUGAAACACGGACCAAGGAGUCUAACGUACAUGCAAGUCAUACAGCUCAAAAGCUGAACGGCGAAGCUCAGGCAAAAAGCAUCAAGUCCCUUAACCGGUUCUGCAGUGCUCUCCUAGCCGGCCUCUCGGGGUUGGUCUGGAGUUUGAGCAUGUCAUGUUAGGUCCCGAAAAACGACGAGCUAUGCUUGAGUAGGCCGAAGCCAGGAGAAAUCUUGGUGGAAGGCCGUCGCAGUACUGACGUGCAAAUCGUUUGUCAAACUUGAGUAUAGGGGCGAAAGACCAAUCGAGUCGUUUAGUAGCUGGUUUCCAC